AGGUAAUAGAUACCCUGGUAGUCCUAGCAGUAAACGGUGCAUGCUUGGUAUGGGGACAUAGACAUUCUCCGUGCCGUAGUUAACACGUUAAGCAUGCCGCCUGGGAAGUACGGUCGCAAGACUAAAACUCAAAGAAAUUGACGGGGACCCGCACAAGCGGUGGAGUAUGUGGCUUAAUUCGAUGCAACGCGAUGAACCUUACCUGGACUUGACAUGCAUCUAUAAACGGCGGAAACGUCGUGAUUGUAGCAAUACAAAAAUUUGCACAGGUGCUGCAUGGCUGUCGUCAGCUCGUGUCGUGAGAUGUUGGGUUAAGUCCCGCAACGAGCGACC
rnacentral:rRNA from 1 species